UACGUAGGGGGGCAAGCGUUGUCCGGAAUCAUUGGGCGUAAAGAGCGUGUAGGCGGCUCGGUAAGUCUGCUGUGAAAGUCCAGGGCUCAACCCUGGGAUGCCGGUGGAUACUGUCGAGCUCGAGUCCGGAAGAGGCGAGUGGAAUUCCUGGUGUAGCGGUGAAAUGCGCAGAUAUCAGGAGGAACACCAAUGGCGAAGGCAGCUCGCUGGGACGUGACUGACGCUGAGACGCGAAAGCGUGGGGAGCAAACAGG
rnacentral:rRNA from 1 species